UACGAACUGUGCGAACGUUAUUCGGAAUCACUGGGCUUACAGGGUGCGUAGGCGGCCGAACAAGUCAGGUGUGAAAGCCCUCGGCUCAACCGAGGAACUGCGCUUGAAACUGUUUGGCUCGAGUCAACUAGAGGUGCACGGAACUUCCAGUGGAGCGGUGAAAUGUGUUGAUAUUGGAAGGAACACCGGAGGCGAAAGCGGUGCACUGGGGUUGGUCUGACGCUGAGGCGCGAAAGCUAGGGGAGCGAACGGG
rnacentral:rRNA from 1 species